GAUCAUGGCUCAGGAUGAAUGCUGGCGGCAUGCCUAAUACAUGCAAGUCGAGCGGUAACAGGACUAGCUUGCUAGUUGCUGACGAGCGGCGGACGGCUGAGUAACGCAUGGGAACGCACCCCAAACUGAGGGAUAACGCACCGAAAGGUGUGCUAAUACCGCAUGUGAUCUUCGGAUUAAAGCUUUCGAGCGGUUUGGGAGCGGCCUGUGUACGAUUAGAUAGUUGGUGAGGUAAUGGCUCACCAAGUCGACGAUCGUUAGAUGGUUUGAGAGGAUGAUCAUCCAGACUGGGACUGAGACACGGCCCAGACUCCUACGGGAGGCAGCAGUAGGGAAUCUUUCACAAUGGGCGAAAGCCUGAUGGAGCAAUGCCGCGUGCAGGACGAAGGCCUUCGGGUUGUAAACUGCUUUUAUAAGCGAGGAAUAUGACGGUAACUUAUGAAUAAGGAUCGGCUAACUACGUGCCAGCCGCGGC
rnacentral:rRNA from 1 species